AGAUGUCAUUCUUUUUCCCAUAUCAUCCUGCAUUCAUCCUUCUCAGAGGCAACUACUGUUAGCAAUUUCUUAAACAUCCAACCAGAAAACUUUCUCUGUGUGUACUAACACAUACACGCAAACACGUACCGCUGCUCAAAAUAGGUGCUUUCUUAACCAAACCUCCACUUAGCUGACUCAUAAGAUUAACCAACACUCUUCAUUCUCUCUGUUUAGCACGCAGUGAAUACUUACAGCAUCCACAUGUCUGCUUCCACCAGUACAUGUGGGACGCCUGCCACAGCACUGCUUGAUGAGUGCUGUAUAGGUCUGCACCUGGGAUCUGAACUGGCGAACCCCAGGCAGAAGCAGAGUGUGCGAACGUACCCACUAUGCACCAGGCCGGCCCCCAUGUCUUUCUUUUUUAAUUGACCCAGGACUUCUCCAUGAAGACUUUCUAGACUUGUCUAUUCAAAGCCAACAGUGAACUUCUCCUGAAAAAGGGUUAUAUCAAUUUUAACUUUGUAUCCAAAGCAUGAGAACAAUGUGCUCCUGGAACAUAGUUUCUUCUGAGAUUUGUUGAUGAAUAAAGGAAAAGAAAUAACUGGAUAGGAAAGCUGUUCAUUUGUUUACCUUGUCAUCUUAACAGUCUGUUCAAAUAAUUUUGCCCAAUAUUUUUCAUUAUAUAACAACUAACCCUUAAGGACGUCUCCCAAGCCCAAACUAUCUCAAAAUAAUUAAAAUCGCAAUUGAAUUUAGGGAUGAGCUUAGUAUAGAAAUAGCCGCAGUAGUUGUUUCUAUUUGCUUGAACUCCACAAUGAGCUGUUUCAUGCUUCUUCACAUUUGAGAUAAUACUUCAAAUUUAUACCCACAAUGAAAUAAAGGCUUAAAAAUAAUCUGAUAUGACUUUUGAACCAUAAAAUUACUAGACUGGGUGGAGGGCUCAUUUUCUUCACAAAUUCAUUGUUCAUUUGGUACUCAUUCAUGCAAAUGUUGUAAUCUGUUUUAAAACCACUUCUAAGCUUUAAGAAAAAAAGAAAUAUAUAUAUAGUCAUGUAAACGAGGCUCUGGAAACUCUGCCUUCUGUUAAUCUUAAUAUCCUGAUGCAUUUUAUUCUGAAUAUUUUUAAGUUAUUUACUGCCAAAAAUAAUAUUAACACUUAUUCAAUAUCACUGUUUCAUGGCACCAGGCCUCAUGUGUAUCUAAAUACCUUUUUAAUCUUAUUCUUCGCUUGUAUAGAAUAUUUUAUUUCAAGGCCUGAAAUUUAUUUUUCUCAUGGAAUAAAAACAUCUUUGUUUGCUCUUUACUAUUUAAUUACAUUUUUCCUAUUCCAUACAAUUGUCAUCUAAUUGCAUUUGUUUCUGAUUGCUAAUCCAGUUAUGUUAGCAAGAAGAUGAAAUCUAUAGGAUAUUCUGGUUUGUGUAAUAAGCAAAAAUUGUCAAGUGUUGUGUGCUUCUGUCACAGAGAGACUGAUCUGCUAAAAAAAAUCUUUAUAAGUUAAGUUUAUUUUUUAUAGGUAAAAACAGUAAAGAGAGAAAUGGAGAAAACAAGUUAGCGAUCUAGAAUGAAUUCUCUCUAUUAAGGAAUAAGAAUAAAACUUUCAUAGAACUUAC
ensembl:lncRNA